CUUCUUCCAGCCAGCAGAGCCAGCAGCCUCUUCUUCCUCCGACAGAGGCCAUUUCACUUUCGCCACCAUCUGGGACUACCGACGAGAAGCUAUCCACGACGGACCCACCGCCAACAUCAGCUUGCAUCGACGAGUCUUCAGCUCCACGUUCAACGUCACAGCUCGCUUCCAGAUCAGUGCUGCUUGUUCCAUUCUACGUGGAGCUCUCAUUUGAUGGUUUACCCCCUGUGUCAACUCUUGCAAAGAAAACAGAGCACCGAAAAUCACAGUAGAUAAAACUUGUAGAAAAAUAUUUGAUGACGAACAAGUUGGAGUUGCUGAGGUCCCAGCCCCCCAAGUUGGUGCUAAUGUUGAAGAUGUUGUUGUUGGAACCCAAUAUAGUAUUGUCACACAACAAACACCAUCGGGCAAUGAUGAGAAUUUGUGAAGCAUUGUUUAUGGGUUUCUUGAAGUAUUUCUAUUGAAGGUCGUGGUUGUAAAGAAUGUAUAGAUUUGUGGGUGUUCAAUGUGUAUGAAAAUCAUUAUUAUAUUUUUGAUGGGUUAUUUGAAGUAUUUUGUAAAAUGCUGGAGCCUUUUUGUUGGCGGUUGUGGUUGUAAAGAAUGUACAGAUAGUCGAAUGCAGUACUUGUAUAAAAAUCAUUAUUAUAUAAAUCAUAGAAAUCUUGAAGUA